UACGAAGGGGGCUAGCGUUGCUCGGAAUCACUGGGCGUAAAGGGUGCGUAGGCGGGUCUUUAAGUCAGAGGUGAAAUCCUGGAGCUCAACUCCAGAACUGCCUUUGAUACUGAGGAUCUUGGGUUCGGGAGAGGUGAGUGGAACUGCGAGUGUAGAGGUGAAAUUCGUAGAUACUCGCAAGAACACCAGUGGCGAAGGCGGCUCACUGGCCCGAUACUGACGCUGAGGCACGAAAGCGUGGGGAGCAAACAGG
rnacentral:rRNA from 1 species